rnacentral:rRNA from 1 species
AUGUGCGAGAAGCUCGCCAUCAAUGACGAUCUGGGUUCAGUGCUGGAACUAUUCAACAUGGCCGAUAAGUGCGCCAAGGCUGAAGAGGGCCAUCUCUUCAUUCACAACGACUAUAAUGCCGCACUUGAGGACAAAAAGGCCAUGGGCAAGGAGGUGAAGCGCAAGGGCCCUGCCGUGCUGGCGACGGAGCCUGAGCAAAAGCACGGCCGCGACCGCGACGAGCCCAUCAAGGAUGGCCGCCCAUUCCGCGUCUACCACAACAUGCGCACGCAUAACACCGAUGACUGCCAGGAGCUCAAGGCGCACCGCGACGAAUGCUUGGGUGGCCGCCCAGACCACAACGACCGUGGCGCCGGCCACGGGGGCGGCCGCGGCGGCGGCCAGUGGGACAACCGCAACGACAACCCCCUCUAG